UUUAAAUGCAAUUAUAAGCUUCCAUGCUCAACUUUGACUGUCGUCUUAUUUAAAAUUAUCUUAUGAUUCUUAUUUUAUUGUUAUGAGAUGAUAAAAUAUGAACAAUACUUUAUGCGUGACAUAUGUUUUUAAUUUUUUUAAAAAAAUUUCAAAUAAAAUGGACUGUUAAAGUUGUGCACGGAAAAUCAUGGCUGCACUUAAA
rfam:Oryza glaberrima chromosome 9 Oglab09_0081_11, whole genome shotgun sequence.